rnacentral:rRNA from 1 species
CAGUAGCCGCGGGAACACAGAGGGUGCGAGCGUUAAUCGGAUUUACUGGGCGUAAAGCGUGCGUAGGCGGCUAAUUGAGUCGGAUGUGAAAUCCCCGAGCUUAACUUGGGAAUUGCAUUCGAUACUGGUUAGCUAGAGUGUGGGAGAGGAUGGUAGAAUUCCAGGUGUAGCGGUGAAAUGCGUAGAGAUCUGGAGGAAUACCGAUGGCGAAGGCAGCCAUCUGGCCUAACACUGACGCUGAGGUACGAAAGCAUGGGGAGCAAACAGGAUUAGAUACCCCGGUAGUCCCUGUCUCUUAUAC